GCAAGUCGAGCGGAAACGAGAAUAGCUUGCUACCUCGGCGUCGAGCGGCGGACGGGUGAGUAAUACGUAGAAAUCUGCCCAUUUGAGGGGGAUAACAGUUGGAAACGACUGCUAAUACCGCAUACGCCCUACGGGGGAAAGAGGGGGACCUUCGGGCCUCUUGCGAAUGGAUGAGUCUACGUGAGAUUAGCUAGUUGGUGGGGUAAGAGCUCACCAAGGCGACGAUCUCUAGCUGGUUUGAGAGGAUGAUC
rnacentral:rRNA from 1 species